CCAAUAGCGUAUAUUAAAGUUGUUGCAGUUAAAAAGCUCGUAGUUGAAUUUCGGGAUUAGUACGCUGGUCGUGCCUUGUGUAUGUACUGGUGUUACUGGUUCCUACCUUCUGACGAACCGUCAUGUCAUUAAUUUGGUGUGGCGGGAAAUCAGGACUGUUACUUUGAAAAAAUUAGAGUGUUUAAAGCAGGCUCGCGCUUGAAUACAUUAGCAUGGAAUAAUGAAAUAGGACGUUUGAUCCUAUUUUGUUGGUUUCUAGGAUUGACGUAAUGAUUAAUAGGGAUAGUUGGGGGCAUUAGUAUUCAAUUGUCAGAGGUGAAAUUCUUGGAUUUAUUGAAGACUAACUACUGCGAAAGCAUUUGCCAAGGAUGUUUUCAUUAAUCAAGAACGAAAGUUAGGGGAUCGAAGACGAUCAGAUACCGUCGUAGUCUUAACCAUAAACUAUGCCGACUAGGGAUCGGAUGAUGUUAUUUUUAAUGACUCAUUCGGCGCCUUACG
rnacentral:rRNA from 1 species